ACCCUAAAAUAAGAUAGAAUCCAAAGCACACCUGUCUGCAAGAUAUUUUAGUCGCAAGCACUAAUCGCUUCAUUUAUAGAUACAUUAUAUAUCUCAAAAAAAUUUUAAUUUCAGUUUCCGAAAGUCGGUAAAAGCUCAAGUUCAACGACACGAAUUACUUCGCUGUUCCUCUUUGCGUUUUAGUGGCUAUCUGUGAUGGCUGGGCAAAGUAAUCACAAUAAUUAUGGUAAGAGGAUUCAUUUUCAAUCGGAUUCUGCGGCUAAUGGAGGGAGUAAGCGAAGGAACCCUGGUGAUGAGACUGAGCAGCAUGGCAUUGGUUCGGAAGAUACUGUUUACCGUUACUUAUGCCCUUUGAAAAAGAUUGGGAGUAUUAUUGGUAGAGGUGGUGAAAUCAUCAAACAAUUGAGGUCUGAUACUAAGUCUAGUAUUAGGAUUAGUGAGACAAUCCCUGGCUGUGAUGAGCGUAUUAUUACUAUUUAUAGUUCUGGUGAGGAAACCAAUUUGUUUGAAGAUUCUGGACAGUAUGUUGCGCCAGCACAUGAUGCUCUCUUCAAGGUCCAUGACAGGAUUGUUGCGGAGGAUGCUCCUGCUGAGGAUGAUUUUGAUGAUAUCCACCAAAUUACUAUUCGGAUGCUUGUGCCAGCUGAUCAGAUUGGAUGUGUUAUUGGGAAAGGUGGACAAGUUAUUCAAAACAUACGAAGUGAAACUCGUGCUCAGAUUCGUGUUUUGAAAGAUGAACAUUUGCCCCCAUGUGCCUUGAAUUUUGAUGAGCUUCUACAGGUUGGGGAUGUUCAGAUAGUUGGUGAACCUUCUGUUGUGAGGAAGGCUCUUCUUCAAGUGGCGUCUCGCCUUCAUGAAAAUCCAUCACGUUCCCAGCACCUGCUUCUGUCCUCGUCGGCUAACAUUUAUCAAUCUGCUGGUUUGUUCUUGAGUGCCCCACUCAUCGGUUCUUAUGGGAAUCACUCAACUCGAAGAGAUGAAGCUUCUGCAAGGGAAUUUUCUCUUCGUUUGGUGUGUCCUACUGGAAAUAUUGGAGGUGUGAUAGGAAAAGGUGGAGGCAUUAUCAAACAAAUUAGACAAGAGUCUGGAGCAUCCAUUAAAGUUGAUAGUUCAGGAGCUGAAGGAGAUGAUUGUAUUAUAUUUAUAUCAGCAAAGGAGUUCUUUGAAGACCCAUCUCCCACCAUUAUUGCUGCGCUGCGCUUGCAACCACGAUGUAGUGAGAAAGCAGAAAGGGAAUCAGGCGAUUCUGUAAUCACCACCCGUAUACUAGUUCCGAGCUCACAGAUUGGAUGCCUUAUUGGUAGAGGUGGAGCUAUUAUAUCUGAGAUGAGGAGUGCUACUAGGGCAACCAUUCGAAUUCUUUCAGAUGAAAACCUUCCCAAAGUUGCAUAUGAAGAUGAGGAGAUGGUGCAGAUCACUGGGAGUCUUGAUGUUGCUUGUAAUGCACUUUCACAAGUAACUUUGCGCUUGAGAGCUAAUAUAUUUGAAAGGGAGGGAGGAUUAGCUGGAUAUCCUCCAGUACUUCCUUAUGUCCCCAUGUCAGUGGACAUGUCAGAUGGUACAAAAUAUGGAAAUCGUGAUAGUCAGUCACGUGGACAUGGUUAUUCAUAUGCAUCUGGUGAUGCUCCCUCUCGUGACAAUUAUGGAAGUUAUGGUGGUUCACUGAGUGGCAGCGAAAAUGUUUAUGGCGCGUAUGGUGGUCACUCUUCAAGUCGUGGGUUAUCUGGUCAGAAUUCAACCUCUCAAAGAAAAAAUCAUGGGCAUUAAUACCCGAUUGUGAGCCCUGCAGGUUAGUUUUGGAGGCCGUGUUAAGAGGGGAAACCAUCGAUGCAAGCUAGUGAUAGAAACUCCUGGUUGGAUUGAUACACAGAUUGUUGGGGUGGUAAAGAAAAAAAAAACUCGGUUCAAGGGGUCUGAUGCAUCAUUGAUUUCUUCAGGAUUAGCAGCCAUUAGUGGGAAGUGUUUUCAUCAGAAGCAGUGUUAUUUUUUUGGCAGCACUCUGUUGCACAGCUUUGAUCCUCUUCUGAAGAAAUACUGUUGUCCGCACCACCUCUCUCUCCUGUAAAAUGUAAGCAAGAAUAACAAAAUGUUAUUUGACAAGCAUAGGAAAAGCUGCAAGUAAAAUCCACCAUCGUACCUUCCUCUUCGCCUGCAGGAGCGUAAGCUGAGCGCCUUGAGCGCACCUGCUGCUGGGGCGUGGGCUGAAAUUAAAGUAACAUUAAAACUAAUACUCCUUGUUUUAGGUGUUAUUCAUAUUGCAAUAAUUAUUCAGGUACCUGCAGUUUAGGGCGUAGAGCUUCAAGAGGUCCUUUAGGCUUCUGUGCUCCUUGCUGUUUAUGAACGUAUAUUUCAAAGAGGUAGUAGAAUUUGUGUAUUCCAGAUUAAUGAAAUAAUACUGAGCAAAUUCAAAUCA